GGCAUUAAAUUUUAGGACUCAGAUCUACAGAAGGUAAUAUAAACAAACAUUUGUGAAACAUUUUCCGUGUACAUUGUAAGAAUGAUCUCAGUUUCAGUCUGUUGAGGGGCAGGUGAAGUGUUUCAGAGGAAGUAAGGAGGGAGAGAAACCUGGGGCCUGGCUUGGAGACCAGUUGUUUAUUAGGAGAGUUAACAAAAGCUGUGGUGGAAAAGUAGCCAAGGGGCAGGUUGCAGUGGUCCUGAAAGUGCCAGCUGGGGAGUUGAGAUCUUCCUUAUCUUGCAGGAUAGAUUAAGAGGCAGGUGCUGCCGACAGGGAGAAUGGUUGGGAGUCCAGGGCAGGUGAGAGUCGCAGACUGAGGCCCAGUUUGGGGCUUUCUCCAGCCCCUCCAGGGCUCACUGGCUCUAAGGCUGGCUGAAAACAUGGAUCCUUGCCAAGUGACUCAGCUGCUGCUUGGCCCUUCUGAACAGAAGCCUCAAGGCCAGAGUAUAAGCAUUGCAUUUUGCAAACCACUGUGACCCUGCCAUCACCAGCUGGCAUCAGGCAGGCAUUAGUUCAUCCAGUGCUGACCUUGCACCUACAAUAGCACCCAUUACUGGCCAAGGGCUUGUCAGUCCUCAAGGCUGGUACUUGGACUUUCUAUGCCUUUUUAAGGAGCUCGUCUUCGCCCCCUUCUCUUAGAGGAUGUCUGUUUUCAUUAUCACCCUCAUUCAAGCUUCCCAGCUACCAAGGCUGAGGUUAGGAGCAACAGCAUAGAACACCAGCUGGAAGGCUGGGCACUGAACACUGGCAACACACAGGGUGAAGAUGUGCCUCCUUUGUAAGGCACAAGUACUCGAGCUGUUCCCUGGCAGGGAGAAGAGACGGCACAUUUACGGGAGUGUACAGUAUCCCUUUCGCUGCUGAUGCAUCAAUCUGUGAGCAUCCCUCACCGGCAGGUCUUGUUCAACAGCUGGAUGCAGAUCCCAAAGAGCUCUUCGAAUGCCCGGUCAUGGGUAAAGAACAUCGGGUGGUAGUCGUUGCGUCCUUCGUUUGCUGUGGAAGGAAAGGAACACGCAGGUCUCAGAAGAGGGAAGCUUUCAUGACCGUUUCCUGAUCAGAGUGGACUGCUGCAGAAGUCAGCUAUCAACAAUACCAGCAUUUCCAGAACAUGACAGCGUAAAAGAAAGCAUUUUCCAAGUGAUUUUACCUAUUUGGUUGAGCCCUCCUCCCAGCAGCUUUAUGAAGUAGGCAGAGCAGAAUUAUCACCUCUCCUUCAAGAUGAUAAAACUGAAGCUCAGAUUCUGCUUAGGUUGCCCAAGUUCACCCAACUAAUAUGUAGUGCAGACGACAGGACCUGGAGCUGAUUCUGGCCAGUGCUCUUCCCCUCCCCACGGAGCUGGCCUGAGUUUCUGCUCAUUGCAACUAAAUCAGACCUAAGGGGGCUGAAGGGGGCUGGCCUGAUGGCUCCUCAAUCUUCCCCAGCUCCUGCACCUCCAGCACAAUUUCUCAAGUCUAAUUUUUACAUGCCUAGACACACAACAAACCUCUGGAAUAAACUGGCUCCAAUAGAAUAGCUCCUGGUUCAAACACUGCCCCAGUGACACAGCCACGCAGGGAUGGUCCCAUGAAUCUCUGGGUGUGUAGGCAGGCAUCCUUAUCCUUAUGCUUAAAUCGACCAUAAUUAGGGGGUACGCUGUAGAGUUGUAAGACCAUUUUUUAGAAGUGAGUUAUAGUUUACAUGCCAUAGAAGGAACAGCACAUAUGUAUGUGUGUAUAUAAAUAUUUACAUACACAUAAAAGAAACACACAUCUGCCUUAACCACCUCCCCAAAUUAGACUUUGAACAUUUUCAACACCCCAGAAAAUUCCCUCCUUCCUCCUUCCAUCCAACUCCCUACCUUCCAGCCCUCCAAGAAGCAACUUCUUUCUGACUUCUUUCAUCAUACAUUAGUUUUGCCUGUUUUGAUACUUAAACAUAUUGAACUGAAAAGUAUGGCUUUUUAAGCCAUUUGUUAUUUAGCUCAGUUCUUCCUUUUUAAAAGAAGUAGGCAGUUUUGGUAUAACAGAAAAAGCACGGGGCUGGGACGAUUUCCCUGCUCAAGCAGCAGCUGGAUUUAGAGCCCAAGGACUCAGAACCUACUCACAGUUCUAUUACUAAGUGUCUGGGUGAUGCGUACAUGUCCCUUUUACCCACGUAAAAAUGUGGGUGAUGUUUUCAGUUUCCUUCUGCCGAGAUGUGUUGCAGUAAAUCAUGUGUAAGCUGCCUUCUAAGUCUCCAAGUCCACGAUUUUAAAGGAGACCUAAAAAAUCCAAGUGAAGGUUGCCCAUUUCAAAGUCCUCACCAAAAGAAGCUACACUUAUUUUCAUGGAGCUGCUAAGAAACAAAUCGUAUUUUUUGGAAUUCCUUUCUAGACACUGCCUUUGGAGAUGAGCAAGCUAAAGCUCAACCUUGCACUUUUCAACCGCCUAUGGCAUUUCCUAGGUUGACUGUCUUUUUCCUUAUUAAAUUAGCCCUGGUGAUUCUUGUCUAUUCUAAAAAUUCACAUCCGUGUUACAGCUUGGAGAGUUGCAGCCACCAGGACUAGUCGGGAGAUAUCAUAAGCCCCCAUGGUCAGUGACUCUGCCCUUUCCCACAAAGCGCAGGCAGCCCAUGUGUACUGGAUGUCAGCCCCCCAACCAGGCCACAGAGGAUGGGACCCACAUGAACACUCCACCUUGGCUGGACUAAUCAAAUAUUUUUCUUAACCUUAAAGACAGAGACUAAGGGAGUUGGAUGACAAUGGGCUCUGGAGCAAAAAGGUCACAGCUUCAGAGCUGGAACCAUGGCAAGCCAAAGCCAUUCACAAGCCAAAAUGAUGGAGAAGCAAAAACCAAGAGCCUUGGCAAGGAAGCUGUUCUGCAAGAAGAAUCCAGAAAUGUGUAGUCAAGUGGAGGCCAGAAACCACAGAGUCCCAUAAGGAGAUGGGAAAAGCCAUUUGCCUGGUGACUUUCCAGAUUCUACAGCUACACCUCCUACAGCUGAGAUACCUGAACUUCCUCUGUAACCUGCUAAUAAACCUCCUCUAAAUUAAAC